rnacentral:rRNA from 1 species
UACAGAGGGGGCAAGCGUUGCUCGGAAUUACUGGGCGUAAAGGGCGCGUAGGCGGGAUGGCAAGUCGGUCGUGAAAUCCUUCGGCUCAACCGAAGAACGUCGAUCGAUACUGCUGUUCUUGAGGGUUGCAGAGGAGACUGGAAUUCCCGGUGUAGCGGUGAAAUGUGUAGAGAUCGGGAGGAACACCGGUGGCGAAGGCGGGUCUCUGGGCAAUUCCUGACGCUGAGGCGCGAAAGCGUGGGGAGCAAACGGG